CACUAUCGUUAACUGAAUACAUAGGUUAACGAGGCGAACCGGGGGAACUGAAACAUCUAAGUACCCCGAGGAAAAGAAAUCAACCGAGAUUCCCCCAGUAGCGGCGAGCGAACGGGGAGCAGCCCAGAGUCUGAAUCAGCUUGUGUGUUAGUGGAACGGUCUGGAAAGUCCGACGGUACAGGGUGAUAGUCCCGUACACCAAAAUGCACAGGCUGUGAACUCGAAGAGUAGGGCGGGACACGUGGUAUCCUGUCUGAAUAUGGGGGGACCAUCCUCCAAGGCUAAAUACUCCUGACUGACCGAUAGUGAACCAGUACCGUGAGGGAAAGGCGAAAAGAACCCCGGCGAGGGGAGUGAAAAAGAACCUGAAACCGUGUACGUACAAGCAGUGGGAGCACCUUCGGGUGUGACUGCGUACCUUUUGUAUAAUGGGUCAGCGACUUAUAUUCUGUAGCAAGGUUAACCGUAUAGGGGAGCCGCAGGGAAACCGAGUCUUAACUGGGCGUUAAGUUGCAGGGUAUAGACCCGAAACCCGGUGAUCUAGCCAUGGGCAGGUUGAAGGUUGGGUAACACUAACUGGAGGACCGAACCGACUAAUGUUGAAAAAUUAGCGGAUGACUUGUGGCUGGGGGUGAAAGGCCAAUCAAACCGGGAGAUAGCUGGUUCUCCCCGAAAGCUAUUUAGGUAGCGCCUCGUGAACUCAUCUUCGGGGGUAGAGCACUGUUUCGGCUAGGGGGUCAUCCCGACUUACCAACCCGAUGCAAACUACGAAUACCGAAGAAUGUUAUCACGGGAGACACACGGCGGGUGCUAACGUCCGUCGUGAAGAGGGAAACAACCCAGACCGCCAGCUAAGGUCCCAAAGUCAUGGUUAAGUGGGAAACGAUGUGGGAAGGCACAGACAGCCAGGAUGUUGGCUUAGAAGCAGCCAUCAUUUAAAGAAAGCGUAAUAGCUCACUGGUCGAGUCGGCCUGCGCGGAAGAUGUAACGGGGCUAAACCAUGCACCGAAGCUGCGGCAGCGACACUAUGUGUUGUUGGGUAGGGGAGCGUUCUGUAAGCCUGCGAAGGUGUGCUGUGAGGCAUGCUGGAGGUAUCAGAAGUGCGAAUGCUGACAUAAGUAACGAUAAAGCGGGUGAAAAGCCCGCUCGCCGGAAGACCAAGGGUUCCUGUCCAACGUUAAUCGGGGCAGGGUGAGUCGACCCCUAAGGCGAGGCCGAAAGGCGUAGUCGAUGGGAAACAGGUUAAUAUUCCUGUACUUGGUGUUACUGCGAAGGGGGGACGGAGAAGGCUAUGUUAGCCGGGCGACGGUUGUCCCGGUUUAAGCAUGUAGGCUGGUUAUCCAGGCAAAUCCGGAUAAUCAAGGCUGAGGUGUGAUGACGAGGCACUACGGUGCUGAAGUAACAAAUGCCCUGCUUCCAGGAAAAGCCUCUAAGCAUCAGGUAACAUCAAAUCGUACCCCAAACCGACACAGGUGGUCAGGUAGAGAAUACCAAGGCGCUUGAGAGAACUCGGGUGAAGGAACUAGGCAAAAUGGUGCCGUAACUUCGGGAGAAGGCACGCUGGUGUGUAGGUGAAGUCCCUGCGGAUGGAGCUGAGACCAGUCGAAGAUACCAGCUGGCUGCAACUGUUUAUUAAAAACACAGCACUGUGCAAACACGAAAGUGGACGUAUACGGUGUGACGCCUGCCCGGUGCCGGAAGGUUAAUUGAUGGGGUUAUCCGUAAGGAGAAGCUCUUGAUCGAAGCCCCGGUAAACGGCGGCCGUAACUAUAACGGUCCUAAGGUAGCGAAAUUCCUUGUCGGGUAAGUUCCGACCUGCACGAAUGGCGUAAUGAUGGCCAGGCUGUCUCCACCCGAGACUCAGUGAAAUUGAACUCGCUGUGAAGAUGCAGUGUACCCGCGGCAAGACGGAAAGACCCCGUGAACCUUUACUAUAGCUUGACACUGAACAUUGAGCCUUGAUGUGUAGGAUAGGUGGGAGGCUUUGAAGCGUGGACGCCAGUCUGCGUGGAGCCAACCUUGAAAUACCACCCUUUAAUGUUUGAUGUUCUAACGUUGGCCCCUGACCGGGGUUGCGGACAGUGUCUGGUGGGUAGUUUGACUGGGGCGGUCUCCUCCCAAAGCGUAACGGAGGAGCACGAAGGUUAGCUAAUCCUGGUCGGACAUCAGGAGGUUAGUGCAAUGGCAUAAGCUAGCUUGACUGCGAGCGUGACGGCGCGAGCAGGUGCGAAAGCAGGUCAUAGUGAUCCGGUGGUUCUGAAUGGAAGGGCCAUCGCUCAACGGAUAAAAGGUACUCCGGGGAUAACAGGCUGAUACCGCCCAAGAGUUCAUAUCGACGGCGGUGUUUGGCACCUCGAUGUCGGCUCAUCACAUCCUGGGGCUGAAGUAGGUCCCAAGGGUAUGGCUGUUCGCCAUUUAAAGUGGUACGCGAGCUGGGUUUAGAACGUCGUGAGACAGUUCGGUCCCUAUCUGCCGUGGGCGCUGGAGAAUUGAGGGGGGCUGCUCCUAGUACGAGAGGACCGGAGUGGACGCAUCACUGGUGUUCGGGUUGUCAUGCCAAUGGCACUGCCCGGUAGCUAAAUGCGGAAGAGAUAAGUGCUGAAAGCAUCUAAGCACGAAACUUGCCCCGAGAUGAGUUCUCCCUGAGACUUUAAGUCUCCUGAAGGAACGUUGAAGACGACGACGUUGAUAGGCCGGGUGUGUAAGCGCAGCGAUGCGUUGAGCUAACCGGUACUAAUGAACCGUGAGGCUUAACCUUACAACGCCGAAG
rnacentral:rRNA from 1 species